UACGGGAGGCAGCAGUGGGGAAUUUUGGACAAUGGGGAAACCCCUGAUCCAGCCAUCCCGCGUGUGUGCGAUGAAGGCCUUCGGGUUGUAAAGCACCCUUGGCAGGGAAAGAAACGGCACGGCUACUACCCUCAGCAACUGACGGUACCUGCAGAAUAAGCACCGGCUAACUACGUGCCAGCAGCCGCGGUAAUACGUAGGGUGUUAAUCGGAAUUACUGGGCGUAAAGCGUGCGCAGGCGGUUCGGAAAGAAAGAUGUGAAAUCCCAGAGCUUAACUUGGAACUGCAUUUUUAACUACCGAGCUAGGAGUGUGUCAGAGGGAGGUGGAAUUCCGCGUGUAGCAGUGAAAUGCGUGGAUAUGCGGAGGAACACCGAUGGCGAAGGCAGCCUCCUGGGAUAACACUGACGCUCAUGCACGAAAGCGUGGGGAGCAACAGGAUUAGAUAAUUUCGUAGU
rnacentral:misc_RNA from 1 species